GGCUGGUCUGAGUGCAGUGGUGUUUACAACUAAUUGAUCACAACCAGUUACAGAUAUCUUUGUUCCUUCUCCACACGCACUGCUUCGCACUGCUUCAUCUGACUAGCCUUUA
rnacentral:Y_RNA from 1 species